rnacentral:rRNA from 1 species
UCGAGAAUUUUUCACAAUGGGCGCAAGCCUGAUGGAGCGACGCCGCGUGGGGGAUGAAGGGCUUCGGUCCGUAAACCCCUGUCAUUUGCGAACAAAGCUGCUGGCCUAAUACGCUAGUAGUUGAUAGUAGCAAAAGAGGAAGGGACGGCUAACUCUGUGCCAGCAGCCGCGGUAAUACAGAGGUCCCAAGCGUUGUUCGGAUUUACUGGGCGUAAAGGGUGCGUAGGUGGCGGGGUAAGUCUGGUGUGAAAGCUCCGAGCUCAACUCGGAAAAGCAUUGGAAACUAUUCCGCUAGAGGGUCGGAGGGGAGACUGGAAUUCUCGGUGUAGCAGUGAAAUGCGUAGAUAUCGAGAGGAACACCAGUGGCGAAGGCGAGUCUCUGGACGACUCCUGACACUGAGGCACGAAAGCUAGGGGAGCAAACAG